rnacentral:rRNA from 1 species
UACAGAGGGUGCAAGCGUUGUUCGGAAUUAUUGGGCGUAAAGGGCGCGUAGGCGGUGCGGUAAGUCUUUUGUGAAAUCUCCGGGCUCAACUCGGAGUCUGCAAGAGAAACUGCCGUGCUGGAGUAUGGGAGAGGUGAGUGGAAUUCCCGGUGUAGCGGUGAAAUGCGUAGAUAUCUGGAGGAAUACCGGUGGCGAAGGCGGCAUCCUGGACCAUUACUGACGCUGAGGCGCGAAAGCUAGGGGAGCAAACGGG